rnacentral:rRNA from 1 species
UACGGAGGGUGCAAGCGUUGUUCGGAAUUAUUGGGCGUAAAGCGCGCGCAGGCGGUCGAAAAAGUCUAUGGGUAAAAGGCCGGGGCUCAACUCCGUGCACGCCGGGGGAUACUGGGAGGCUGGAGACAUGUAGAGGCAAGCGGAAUUCCGGGUGUAGCGGUGGAAUGCGUAGAGAUCCGGAAGAACACCUGAGGCGAAGGCGGCUUGCUGGGCAUGAUCUGACGCUGAGGCGCGAAAGCUAGGGUAGCAAACGGG